AGAGUUUGAUCCUGGCUCAGGAUAAACGCUGGCGGAGUGCCUUAAGCAUGCAAGUGGAACGAGUUUUUGUUGGCCGUAAGGCCGACAGAUUCUAGUCGCAGACGGGUGAGUACAGCAUAGGAAUCUACCCUUUGGUUCGGAAUACCCCCGCGAAAGUGGGGCUAAUACCGGAUGACGUCGCAAGACAAAAGACCCUAACCGGUCGCCGUUGGAGGAGCCUAUGUCCUAUCAGUUAGUUGGUGGGGUAAAAGCCUACCAAGACUAUGACGGGUAGCUGGACUGAGAGGUUGGUCAGCCACAAUAGCACUGAGACACGGGCUAUACAUCUACGGAUGGCAGCAACUGGGAAUAUUGCGCAAUGGGCGAAAGCCUGACGCAGCGACUCCGCGUGAAGGAUGAAGGUCUUAGGAUCGUAAACUUCUUUUGACUGGGAUGCCCGCAAGGGAGACUGUACCAGUAGAAUAAGCACCUGCUAACCACGUGCCAGCAGCCGCGGUAAUACGUGGGGUGCAAGCGUUAUCCGGAUUUAUUGGGCGUAAAGAGUUCGUAGGCGUUUUUCUAAGUUUCAUUUGAAAGACCGAAGCUCAACUUCGGGACCGGAUGAAAUACUAGAAGAAUUUGAGUCGAUUAGGGGGUACUGGAACUCAUGGUGUAGCAGUGAAAUGCGUUGAUAUCAUGAGGAACACCAAGGGCGAAGGCAAGUACCUGGGAUCGCACUGACGCUGAGGAACGAAAGCUAGGGGAGCGAAAGGGAUUAGAGACCCCUGUAGUCCUAGCCGUAAACAAUGCACGCUUGAUUCUUGUCCCUAUGGGAUGGGGGUUGGAGCUAACGCGUGAAGCGUGCCGCCUGGGGAGUACGACCGCAAGGUUAAAACUCAAAGGAAUUGACGGGAGAGUGCACAACCAGGGGAGCAUGUGGUUCAAUUCGAUACGAAGCGAAGAACCUUACCCAGAUUUGACAUACUAUCGUUUAUUUUUGUGGAAACAUGAAGAAAUCCCGAUUAAAAAACGGGAUGAUAGAACAGCUGCUGCAUGGCUGUCGUCAGCUCGUGCCGUGGGGUGUCGACUUAAGUGUCGAAACGAGCGCAACCCUUAUCUUAUGUUCAAUAGUCAUGAGAAACUGCCCCGCCUUUAGCGGGGAGGAAGGAGGGGAUGACGUCAAGUCAGCAUGGCGCUUAUAUCUGGGGCCACACACAUCCUACAAUGGGAAGUAACAAUGGGUUGCCAAGCCGUAAGGCGGAGCUAAUCCCACCAAACCUUCCCUCAGUUCAGAUCGAGGGCUGAAAUUCGUCCUCGCGAAGCCGGACUUGGUAGUAAUCGCGAAUCAGCAGGUCGCGGUGAAUACGUUCUCACUCUUUGUACACACCGCCCAUCAAGCCAGCAAAGUCGGCAGUACCUGAAACUCUGGGUUUCCCGGAGCAAGGGUAAGGUCGGCGAUGAGGGCUAAGUUGUAACAAGGUA
rnacentral:rRNA from 1 species